GACGAACGCUGGCGGCAUGCCUAACACAUGCAAGUCGAACGAGACCUUCGGGUCUAGUGGCGCAAGGGUGCGUAACGCGUGGGAACCUGCCCUUAGGUUCGGAAUAACUCCCCGAAAGGGGUGCUAAUACCGGAUAAUGUCUUCGGACCAAAGAUUUAUCGCCUUUGGAUGGGCCCGCGUUGGAUUAGCUAGUUGGUAGGGUAAAAGCCUACCAAGGCGACGAUCCAUAGCUGGUCUGAGAGGAUGAUCAGCCACACUGGGACUGAGACACGGCCCAGACUCCUACGGGAGGCAGCAGUGGGGAAUAUUGGACAAUGGGCGAAAGCCUGAUCCAGCAAUGCCGCGUGAGUGAUGAAGGCCUUAGGGUUGUAAAGCUCUUUUACCCGGGAUGAUAAUGACAGUACCGGGAGAAUAAGCUCCGGCUAACUCCGUG
rnacentral:rRNA from 1 species